rnacentral:rRNA from 1 species
CCUACGGGAUGCAGCAGUGAGGAAUAUUGGUCAAUGGACGGAAGUCUGAACCAGCCAUGCCGCGUGCAGGAAGACGGCUCUAUGAGUUGUAAACUGCUUUUGUACAAGGGUAAACCUGAAUACGUGUAUUCAGCUGAAAGUACUGUACGAAUAAGGAUCGGCUAACUCCGUGCCAGCAGCCGCGGUAAUACGGAGGAUCCAAGCGUUAUCCGGAUUUAUUGGGUUUAAAGGGUGCGUAGGCUGAUUGAUAAGUUAGAGGUGAAAUGUCCGAGGUUAACUCGGGAACUGCCUCUAAUACUGUUGAUCUAGAGAGUAUAUGCGGUAGGCGGAAUGUAUGGUGUAGCUGUGAAAUGCUUAGAGAUCAUACAGAACACCGAUUGCGAAGGCAGCUUACCAAUCUAUAUCUGACGUUGAGGCACGAAAGCGUGGGGAGCAAACAGGAUUAGAUACCCCUGUAGUC